rnacentral:ncRNA from 2 species
CAGUUCAUUCCACAUGACGGUGCGAGGAAGCCGGUGGGAGCCCGGCGCGGUUGCGCCACUGUGAGCCCGGACGAUCCCGGGUGAGCCAGACACUUGGCCGUCAUGUCGCUUGUCCG